CCUACGGGAGGCAGCAGUGAGGAAUAUUGGUCAAUGGGCGCUAGCCUGAACCAGCCAAGUAGCGUGAAGGAUGACUGCCCUAUGGGUUGUAAACUUCUUUUAUCUGGGAAUAAAGUGCAGUAUGUAUACUGCUUUGCAUGUACCUUAUGAAUAAGGAUCGGCUAACUCCGUGCCAGCAGCCGCGGUAAUACGGAGGAUCCGCGCGUUAUCCGGAUUUAUUGGGUUUAAAGGGAGCGUAGGCGGGUUGUUAAGUCAGUUGUGAAAGUUUGCGGCUCAACCGUAAAAUUGCAGUUGAUACUGGCAGCCUUGAGUACAGUAGAGGUAGGCGGAAUUCGUGGUGUAGCGGUGAAAUGCUUAGAUAUCACGAAGAACUCCGAUUGCGAAGGCAGCCUGCUGGACUGUAACUGACGCUGAUGCUCGAAAGUGUGGGUAUCAAACAGGAUUAGAUACCCUAGUAGUC
rnacentral:rRNA from 1 species